CCAAAGAAUAUUAAGUCCUUUGGUGCGUAAUAAGCAGAUAUAUCUUCCAGUACCAUCCAGUCUGACUGAACUUUCUGGUUUGGAGUUGAAGCAGAAUGCUGGUUCUUUAUCAGGAUUUGGUGAGACUUCUAUUCACACACCUACAAAAUCCAGAUUCCGGCAAAGCAGCCACAGCAUUAGUUCACAUGUUUCAGAUAACACAAAUUUUGGGAGCAGUUCAUCAAUAACAUUUCCCAUAUUACAACGUACUGCUGAAGAAAAAAUACUGAACUCUGAUAGACUUACCCUGGAAAGGCAGAAACUGACAGUGUGCCCAGUUAUUGAUGGGGAAGAUCAUCUUCGCCUUUUGAAUUUCCAACAUAACUUUAUAACCCGGAUCCAAAAUAUUUCUAAUCUGCAGCAUCUUGUUUUCUUAGAUUUAUAUGAUAAUCAGAUAGAGGAAAUAAGUGGAGUUUCAACUCUGAGAUCCCUAAGAGUCCUUUUGUUGGGAAAGAACAGAAUAAAGAAGAUCUCAAAUCUGGAGAACCUAAAAAAUCUUGAUGUUUUAGAUCUUCAUGGAAAUCAGGUACAGUACAAUA